AUCCACCACGCGUACACUGCAGUUCCUCCGCGCCGCCCGCCCCCACCUGGCGACUGCGCGCGACGAUGUGUUAGCC
rnacentral:sRNA from 1 species